AGGAUGAACGCUGGCGGCGUGCCUAACACAUGCAAGUCGAACGUCCUGUCUCGCAAGAGGCAGGGAGUGGCGGACGGGUGAGUACCACGUGGGUUAUCUACCGUGAGGUGAGGAAUACCGGCGAGAAAUCGCCGACAAGACCGCAUAGCCUCGGUGCAAGCCGAGGAAAGCUUUCUCGAGAGAGGGAGCGCCACACGAGGAGCCUGCGCCCGAUUAGCUAGCUGGUGGAGUAACGGUUCACCAGGGCGACGAUCGGUAGCUGGUCUGAGAGGACGAUCAGCCACACUGGGAUUGAGAACGGCCCAGACUCCUACGGGGGGCAGCAGUGAGGAAUUUUCGUCAAUGGGGGCAACCCUGAACGAGCAACGCCGCGUGCAGGAAGAAGGUUUUCGGAUCGUAAACUGCUUUUCGUCGGGGAAGAGAACGGACGGUACCCGAGGAAUCACGCCCCGGCUAACUACGCGCCAGCAGCCGCGGUAA
rnacentral:rRNA from 1 species